GAUGAACGCUAGCGGCAGGCCUAAUACAUGCAAGUCGAACGGUGUCUUCGGACAUAGUGGCGCACGGGUGCGUAACACGUAUGCAACCUACCUUACAUUGGGGGAUAGCCUUUCGAAAGGGAGAUUAAUACCGCAUAAGACAGUAGCUGGGCAUCCAGCAGCUGUUAAAGAUUUAUCGAUGUAAGCUGGGCAUGCGUCCAAUUAGCUAGUUGGUGAGGUAACGGCUCACCAAGGCAAUGAUUGGUAGGGGAACUGAGAGGUCAAUCCCCCACACUGGCACCGAGAGACGGGCCAGACUCCUACGGGAGGCAGCAGUAGGGAAUAUUGGGCAAUGGACGCAAGUCUGACCCAGCCAUGCCGCGUGCAGGAUGAAGGCGUUAUGCGUUGUAAACUGCUUUUAUACAGGAAGAAACGACUCUUGCGAGAGGCAUUGACGGUAUUGUAUGAAUAAGCACCGGCUAACUCCGUGCCAGCCGCCGCAGUAAAAC
rnacentral:rRNA from 1 species